UCCCUCUCAGGGUUGCAUCUGAAGAGUUUCUAGUACUCUACUAUUCUCAGCUAUGGGAGGGAGAGUCAAGCAGAUGCCUGCCCUUUCCAUUCCUAGCUCGGGCAGUGGCUAGCGAGUGGAAGACAAUCUGCUGAAAGU